GGUUGCGAAGAUUGAAGCUGGUGGAUGCUAUGAAAUCAUUGAUUUCCGUACCAGUAAAAUCAGGGGACAAUACAAAGUAGUCCCGCAUGAAACUCAAGUUUUGUUUAAUGCGGUAACAAAAUUUAAAAAAUUGGCCAGUGUGUUUCCACCCAUCCCUCGCCAUCGGUUCUUUCUACAAGAUUACAACACACUUUACCCUCGCUUGGACAGGGUUGACAUCCUUACAGAUGUUAUCGGUUGUAUAAGAGCCGUACAGUCCUUGGAAGAAAAACAGAUUAAUCAGAGGGUUGCAUACAAAUGUGAUGUGCACAUUCAGAAUAUAAGAAAAGAAGAACUCACGGUUACGUUAUGGGCAGACAUUGGUGAAGCUUUUUCUUCUUUGUCAAUAGAGGCAUUUUCGCUGC